AGAAACUUGAGUAGUCAAGUAUUGGACCCAAAUGUCAUAUAAUUUUAAUUGGGGAUUUUUAUAAAAUUAAGAAAGUUUGGCUAAAGGGCUUAUUUGAAAAGAAUUUUAGUAUUUUGGGUCCAAGUAUAAUUUUUAAAAAUAAAUAAAUAAAUAAAUAAAUAAAAUAAAAAUAAAAUAAAAGGCUUCAGCCUUUCAUUUUACCCGAGCCCCUCUCUCUCUCUCCUCAGAAACUCUCUCCCUCUCUCUCUCUCUCUCUCUCUCUCUCUCUCUCUCCUCUGCGUAUUACUGUUGCCGACGACGCAGGAGUACUUUCCGGCCACCAUUUUUAGCCACGCGCCGGACCGUUGGAUUCAGAGGCCUCCGAACUAUCGACCCACGCGGGAAUCUAGAGCUCACUCGCCGAUUAAACGCCUCAACCACUCGAUUUAAGUUCGGCCACCCCGCGACUUCAAAGUUGCGAUUCGGCCACCUCGGGCAUCCGUUUGCCGAUCCGUCACCACCAUCGUGUUCCUCGUGUUGUGGGCUUCAAAACCCAAUAACUUGUUCCUACAUCUACCAUAGUUGGGUGGUGGGCCCACCACGAGCCACCGCGAUCCACCGUAGACCGACGGUCGAAACUUAGUGUUCGAGGUUCCGAAGUACGUUUUGAGUCUCAGAAAAUCAUCGUUUGACUUAUUGUGGAACCCGAUCAUUUUGGAUUUGUAUGGAUUUGAUUGAUUGACUCUUGGUGAGCCGUUUUAAAAUAAGCUAAGGACCUAAGGUAAGUAAAUCUCACCUUUUGUGCUUAAGUGUAAGAUGCAUGACUACAUUGAUUGUGUACAUCUGAUGAGUUAAGUAUGGUAUGAUGAUGAUGCAUAUGAUAAGUAUGUGAAGAAUGGUUAUAUGAACACCAUAAGGGUGUUGUGUGAUAUGUAAUUGAUGAAUUCUGUGAUAUGUGAAAGAUGUCUUACUUGGUUAAGAAUGAUAUGAAUUAUGUGCAAGUAUGUGUUCUUAUGUUGAUGGAUAUGUGGAUUACUCUAUGUUCAUGAUUUGUUAUAUGUUAUGAUAUAUGAAGCGUUUAAGUUUUUAGGCUGGAAACCUUAGACCUGAGCCAUAGCUCUACGUUAAGGUAUAACAACGCCACCAACCCAAAGCUUCAUGUAUUAUGACUAAAGAUGUUUUGAGUUAUAUGAGAUGUGAUACAAUGCCUUGAUUGAAUACCAUCAACAUCAGUCAUGAACACGAACAUUGGCAUUUCAGCAUCAGCAUGUAUGCAUGGCAUGUACAUUUAUGUGAUACAUUAUUAUGUGAUAUAAGACCAUGCAUAUGGAUAUGAGAAAAGUUAUGAAAUGUCUUGAAAAGUCUUAUGUAAAGUUAAACAUUUUAAUGACACAAGGCUUAAGCAAAGUGAUAAUAAGAUGUUUAAAAAGGGUGCCACUGUUUUGAUGAAGCAAUCAAGUAAGUUCAGUAAAGAAGACGGAAGUCUAUAAGACUUAUAGUGGCUGCCCACUAGUGUGGGCUAGGUCAGAGUUGACCAUUCAGAUAUGUUUGCCAUGUUUCCGUCUUUCUCCUCCAUAUGUGUAAUAAGUAUGGCAGCUAUGGCAACGAUGAAAUGAGUGUUAUGAUGAGCCUAGCUGAGAUGAUGGCUAGCCGGAGGAGAACCCAUGGGAUUCUAUAUGAUAUGUGUAACAAGCCCUGCAGGCAUUGGCUGAAUCAAACAGUGUGCACAAGUGAUAUUGGGCCCAUAAAAAUGUGAAACUAACAGAAAGAGCAUAAAAGUAAAGUUUGAAAGUGCAUGAGCAAUAAAUGGAAUGCAUAAGUAUAUAAGUCAGCAUAUUAAUAUAUGUGCACUACAAACUCACGACAUUCAUGUGUAUGUGUAUGCAUGAGAUUUGCUUACUGAGCGUUAGCUCAUUAUGUUAUUUUCCAACAUUUUUCCAGGUGUGGCUUUAGCUGUUGAGCAACUUGUGGAGCACGGACUCAGUAGCAAUGCAAUAAUGGUUUAGAGUUUUCAUAUGGCUGCCUUAAAUUUAAAGUAUUCAUACGUGUAAUAAUUUCUUCUAAUAAGUUUAUAUAAAAGUUUUAAAUUUUUCUGUAUUUCUUCGUAUCAUUUUAUUUAAUUCUUUUGGUCAAGUGCCUUACAUACUCGUAAACCCUAGAAUUACGAGUAUGUGGCAGACGUACCCUACCUUAGGGACGUUACAAAUGGUAUCAGAGCUUUGAGUUUGUAGAUGUCGUAUACUCGUUAUGUUAUUAGAUUUUGGGAUCUGAAAUGCUACUGAGUUCCGCCACAAGACAAGCCACACGUUAAUGGUUAGUAUAAUUUAUCCAUAUUUUAGUUAAUGUAUGUUAAUGAUGUUGUAUAAUUGUAUUAGAAACUCAUUGUGUGUUUGAGUUUCCAUGAUAUAAGUAUGAGUUUGGAUUAAAUGAAUAUUCUCAUGCACGGUAGAGAAAUUGAAGUUUGUUAUUUAUCUGAAUGCAUGCCUUUAUUAUUGAUGUGAUAAAUAAUUGAUGAUUUAUCGAUGUCGAUGUUUGGAUUGUUAAUUGAUAUUCUCAAGCUUUGAAAGUGAUCUAUCAGUUCAGUUAGUGUGUUAAGGGUUAAUAUGUCAGGUUAGUGUUUUGGAGAGCAGAGUUUUAGGUUGUUGCUGAGAGCACACACAAUAAGAGACUUUAGUGAAACAGUAGUAAUAUAUAGAAAAAAAAAAAAAAAUACAUAAUACAUUAAGGAUUGGGGUUUUGGACACGUUCUACCUCGUCAAUCAACUUUUGUUGUUCAACUCUAAGGGUCUCCCCAGUAGUUUGCAGUGUCUGAAAUUUUUCCUUCAUAUCGACUGAGUAGUUAGCAAGAAGUGUAGUUAAAGUCCCAUUCUCCUUAGCCAACUUCUCCUUCUCUCGAGUCAAUGCCUUGUUGGCAUUUCUAAUGGUUAUCAUCUCUUGUUUUUGUGUUUCUAUAUACCUUUUCAAGUGGUCAACCUCUUGUUCUCUUGCAAGAACCCGUUGGCCUAGGUUUGAGACCGAUGCUGCCGCCUGAGUGGUAAGAACUAAGGAAUCUUUUACAGCUUGUAGGUCUGACCUAUGGGAUAAAAUUAUUUGGUCUUUAGGGGUGAGUAUGCUUUGACCAAUACUAAUGGCCACCUUUUUAUCGAGCAUAGCUGAAUCCUCCACCGUGACAAGGCCAGUAUCAGAAUAAAAUUUGGGAAGCCAAACUCUGGGAAAUUGAGUAUUUCGUUCUGGGAUGUGUACCGUAGGAUACACCAUUAGCUGUGGUAGGGGUGCAGAAAUUUGUGGUGAAGAUUCGAUAGUGGGAAGAUUUGGCUCAGGUAAAGCUAAAGUUAGGUCUAAGUUCAGCUGAGAUGAUGAGGAUGCCAUGGAUUGCUUAGCUUGAGUAAUGGACGGAAGUAAUAAUGAUUUGGUUUUCAAAAGCUUGAGAUUGAUUGUGUUUUAGUGUGUAUGUGAUGAAUUUUAUUUAUAGAAAAAUGUGUUGAACUGUUGGGUCAUUGGAUCCUUGAAUUUGUUUGUUUUCAAGAUAGAUAUCACAGAUUUUAUCUUGUUCAAUGUGUUACGCUAUCCUCUCUGAUGAUGAAAGUCAAACUUAUUAGAUGUUGUCGACAUGGAAAUCACUUCUAUUGAUUUUGCGAUCCUGAUUUGAACAUGGAAACAAUUUGUAAAUUGUUGAAUGAAUCGAGGUGAUAAAUGUUAUUUACUGAAUUACUCUGUAGUGUGAAUUACUUUCGGCGAUUAAAUUAUAGUAUAUUAGCUGUUUUAUCCCGAAAGUAAGAUAAUGUAUUACUUGUGUGAAGUGAUGACUGAGUAUUAUUGGUAUAGGUGUUGAAAUGAGACAUGUCCAACUUAUUAGACAUGUGAGAAUUAUUCGUUUUCGUAGAUGAAGUGGUGGAUUGGUCAGUCAAGACUUAUCCCAUGUUUUAUUCAAUGAAGGGAUACUAAGCUAAGUGUGUGAAUUUCCGAGUGGCCACGGUUAUUUGCAUUCUAGCAUAGUAUCAAUAUGCCCUUUAUUAUUUUAUACAUUUGGAAACAAUUUUGAUUUUUAAAUGUUUUCUUAGAGAAAGAAUGAGAGUCAGGCUUUUCUGAACUGGUACCUAAUGAAUGGCCUAUCUCACUAUUUCUCAUUCAGGGCAAGAAGUCGGUUUUGACAACGAAAGGGUUUCACAGAGACUUGGUUUUAAAGAAUAAUCUUCAUCGGCUAUAUAAUUGUUUUCUAGUUAUCCAAUUUUUUUUAUGCCGAAAAACUUUCUAUUGAACAAACUUGUUGCUCAAUUUAGCAUCUAUUAUCAAGGUAUAACCAGUCAUUUGCAUCUGCUUAAAAAAAAAAAAAAAAAAUUGACUGUAAAACAUGAAGAUCAAGGAUGUUUUCAUGAUGAUGGUCAUUUUCUCUUCUUACGUUAUGUGGUUUGUGUUCAAAAGUAUGGAUGAUGAGGAUUCGUUUGUAUUUUCGUAUACAUUCAUUGUAAUUUAUACUAUUGUUAUAGCUUAUUUCCUUUCUAUCUAUAUUGUAGUCCUCAUGUGAGGUGUUUACACAUCCUCGCCUUUUUAUAUAUGAUAAGGAUUACAAGAAGUCAGGAAUAAGUUUUGUUUUCGGGGUGAAAGUAAGUGUUGUGUAUAAAAUCUUAUGCUGUGAAAUGUUGUUCUGUUUAUUUGUAAUGGUAGUUCUUGUCUCCGAUUAUCAAAUUUUAGUUUGAAAUUUCGAGGACGAAAUUAUUUUAACGGGGGAAGGAUUGUAAUAUCCAACAUUUUCAUAAUACAUUUAUUUAUUAUAAAUCAAAGUUUUAAUACAUAAAAUGUACAACUUUACAAAUUUAAGAAAUAGUAAUGGAAAAAUAGUGUUUAAAAUAUGAUUUUAUGUUUUUAAUGAGAUUAAAGAAAGAGAAACUUGAGUAGUCAAGUAUUGGACCCAAAUGUCAUAUAAUUUUAAUUGGGGAUUUUUAUAAAAUUAAGAAAGUUUGGCUAAAGGGCUUAUUUGAAAAGAAUUUUAGUAUUUUGGGUCCAAGUAUAAUUUUUAAAAAUAAAUAAAUAAAUAAAUAAAUAAAAUAAAAAUAAAAUAAAAGGCUUCAGCCUUUCAUUUUACCCGAGCCCCUCUCUCUCUCUCCUCAGAAACUCUCUCCCUCUCUCUCUCUCUCUCUCUCUCUCUCUCUCUCUCUCUCCUCUGCGUAUUACUGUUGCCGACGACGCAGGAGUACUUUCCGGCCACCAUUUUUAGCCACGCGCCGGACCGUUGGAUUCAGAGGCCUCCGAACUAUCGACCCACGCGGGAAUCUAGAGCUCACUCGCCGAUUAAACGCCUCAACCACUCGAUUUAAGUUCGGCCACCCCGCGACUUCAAAGUUGCGAUUCGGCCACCUCGGGCAUCCGUUUGCCGAUCCGUCACCACCAUCGUGUUCCUCGUGUUGUGGGCUUCAAAACCCAAUAACUUGUUCCUACAUCUACCAUAGUUGGGUGGUGGGCCCACCACGAGCCACCGCGAUCCACCGUAGACCGACGGUCGAAACUUAGUGUUCGAGGUUCCGAAGUACGUUUUGAGUCUCAGAAAAUCAUCGUUUGACUUAUUGUGGAACCCGAUCAUUUUGGAUUUGUAUGGAUUUGAUUGAUUGACUCUUGGUGAGCCGUUUUAAAAUAAGCUAAGGACCUAAGGUAAGUAAAUCUCACCUUUUGUGCUUAAGUGUAAGAUGCAUGACUACAUUGAUUGUGUACAUCUGAUGAGUUAAGUAUGGUAUGAUGAUGAUGCAUAUGAUAAGUAUGUGAAGAAUGGUUAUAUGAACACCAUAAGGGUGUUGUGUGAUAUGUAAUUGAUGAAUUCUGUGAUAUGUGAAAGAUGUCUUACUUGGUUAAGAAUGAUAUGAAUUAUGUGCAAGUAUGUGUUCUUAUGUUGAUGGAUAUGUGGAUUACUCUAUGUUCAUGAUUUGUUAUAUGUUAUGAUAUAUGAAGCGUUUAAGUUUUUAGGCUGGAAACCUUAGACCUGAGCCAUAGCUCUACGUUAAGGUAUAACAACGCCACCAACCCAAAGCUUCAUGUAUUAUGACUAAAGAUGUUUUGAGUUAUAUGAGAUGUGAUACAAUGCCUUGAUUGAAUACCAUCAACAUCAGUCAUGAACACGAACAUUGGCAUUUCAGCAUCAGCAUGUAUGCAUGGCAUGUACAUUUAUGUGAUACAUUAUUAUGUGAUAUAAGACCAUGCAUAUGGAUAUGAGAAAAGUUAUGAAAUGUCUUGAAAAGUCUUAUGUAAAGUUAAACAUUUUAAUGACACAAGGCUUAAGCAAAGUGAUAAUAAGAUGUUUAAAAAGGGUGCCACUGUUUUGAUGAAGCAAUCAAGUAAGUUCAGUAAAGAAGACGGAAGUCUAUAAGACUUAUAGUGGCUGCCCACUAGUGUGGGCUAGGUCAGAGUUGACCAUUCAGAUAUGUUUGCCAUGUUUCCGUCUUUCUCCUCCAUAUGUGUAAUAAGUAUGGCAGCUAUGGCAACGAUGAAAUGAGUGUUAUGAUGAGCCUAGCUGAGAUGAUGGCUAGCCGGAGGAGAAUCCAUGGGAUUCUAUAUGAUAUGUGUAACAAGCCCUGCAGGCAUUGGCUGAAUCAAACAGUGUGCACAAGUGAUAUUGGGCCCAUAAAAAUGUGAAACUAAAAGAAAGAGCAUAAAAGUAAAGUUUGAAAGUGCAUGAGCAAUAAAUGGAAUGCAUAAGUAUAUAAGUCAGCAUAUUAAUAUAUGUGCACUACAAACUCACGACAUUCAUGUGUAUGUGUAUGCAUGAGAUUUGCUUACUGAGCGUUAGCUCAUUAUGUUAUUUUCCAACAUUUUUCCAGGUGUGGCUUUAGCUGUUGAGCAACUUGUGGAGCACGGACUCAGUAGCAAUGCAAUAAUGGUUUAGAGUUUUCAUAUGGCUGCCUUAAAUUUAAAGUAUUCAUACGUGUAAUAAUUUCUUCUAAUAAGUUUAUAUAAAAGUUUUAAAUUUUUCUGUAUUUCUUCGUAUCAUUUUAUUUAAUUCUUUUGGUCAAGUGCCUUACAUACUCGUAAACCCUAGAAUUACGAGUAUGUGGCAGACG